UACGUAGGGCGCAAGCGUUGUCCGGAAUUAUUGGGCGUAAAGAGCUCGUAGGUGGUUUGUCGCGUCCGCUGUGAAAACCCGAGGCUCAACCUCGGGCCUGCAGUGGGUACGGGCAGACUAGAGUGCGGUAGGGGAGACUGGAAUUCCUGGUGUAGCGGUGGAAUGCGCAGAUAUCGGGAGGAACACCAAUUGCGAAGGCAGCUCGCUGGGACGUUACUGACGCUGAGGUGCGAAAGCGUGGGGAGCAAACAGG
rnacentral:rRNA from 1 species